GGCACUGUGGCUCAAGUGGUAGAGCGCUAGCCUUGAGCUCUAGAGCUGAGGGACAGUGCCC
rfam:Dipodomys ordii contig_13401, whole genome shotgun sequence.